GGGAAACUCACCAGGUCCAGACAUAAUAAGGAUUGACAGAUUGAUAGCUCUUUCUUGAUUUUAUGGGUGGUGGUGCAUGGCCGUUCUUAGUUCGUGGAGUGAUUUGUCUGCUUAAUUGCGUUAACGAACGAGACCUUAACCUGCUAAAUAGAAGCGCCUAUCUCCGGAUAAGUGCCUUUCUUCUUAGAGGGACUGCGUGCGUUUCAGCGCGCGGAAGUUUGAGGCUAAAA
rnacentral:rRNA from 1 species